rnacentral:rRNA from 1 species
GACAGAGGAUGCAAGCGUUAUCCGGAAUGAUUGGGCGUAAAGCGUCUGUAGGUGGCUUUUUAAGUCCGCCGUCAAAUCCCAGGGCUCGACCCUGGACAGGCGGUGGAAACGUACCAAGCUGGAGUACGGUAGGGGCAGAGGGAAUUUCCGGUGGAGCGGUGAAAUGCGUAGAGAUCGGAAAGAACACCAACGGCGAAAGCACUCUGCUGGGCCGAGCACUGACACUGAGAGACGGAAAGCUAGGGGGAGCGAAAUGGG